CGAACGCUGGCGGCGUGCUUAACACAUGCAAGUCGAGCGAUGAAGCUUCUUCGGAAAUGGAUUAGCGGCGAACGGGUGAGGAACACGUGAAGAAUCUGCCCUCCACUUUGGGAUAACACCGGGAAACCGGUGCUAAUACCGAAUAUUGAAACAUAAGUGGCAUCACUGAGUUUUGAAAGAAUUUCGGUGGAGGAUGACUUCGCGGCCUAUCAGCUAGUUGGUGAGGUAAUGGCUCACCAAGGCAACGACGGGUAGCCGGCCUGAGAGGGCGACCGGCCACACUGGGACUGAGACACGGCCCAGACUCCUACGGGAGGCAGCAGUGGGGAAUAUUGGGCAAUGGAGGAAGCUCUGACCCAGCGACGCCGCGUGCGGGAUGAAGGCCUUCGGUUGUAACCGCUUCAGUGGGAAGAAGCGAAGUGACGGUACUACAAACGAAGACACCGGCUAACUAUGUACCAGCAGC
rnacentral:rRNA from 1 species